rnacentral:rRNA from 1 species
AGGGUUUGAUCAUGGCUCAGAACGUACGCUGGCGGCACGCCUAACACAUGCAAGUCGAACGAAGUAGUAAUACUUAGUGGCAGACGGGUGAGUAACAUGUGGGUAUCUACCCUUUGGCCUGGAAUAACACGAGGAAACUUGUGCUAAUACCGGAUAAGUCUUCACAGAGAAAGCUUUAUGCACCAUUGGAUGAGCCUGCACUUGAUUAGUUAGUUGGUAGGGUAAUGGCCUACCAAGACUUUGAUCAAUAGCUGAUUUGAGAGGAUGAUCAGCCACAUUGGGACUGAGACACGGCCCAAACUCCUACGGGAGGCAGCAGUGGGGAAUCUUGCACAAUGGAGGAAACUCUGAUGCAGCGAUGCCGCGUGAGUGAAGAAGGCCCUUGGGUUAUAAAGCUCUUUCGUCGGGGAAGAAAAUGACUGUACCCGAAUAAGAAGGUCCGGCUAACUUCGUGCCAGCAGCCGCGGUAAUACGAAGGGACCUAGCGUAGUUCGGAAUUACUGGGCUUAAAGAGUUCGUAGGUGGUUGAAAAAGUUGGUGGUGAAAUCCCAGAGCUUAACUCUGGAACUGCCAUCAAAACUUUUCAGCUAGAGUAUGAUAGAGGAAAGCAGAAUUUCUAGUGUAGAGGUGAAAUUCGUAGAUAUUAGAAAGAAUACCAAUUGCGAAGGCAGCUUUCUGGAUCAUUACUGACACUGA